CAGUAAUGGACUACAAUUUGUAUGUAAUCUACACAGCACUGUCAUCAAUCAAUAAAUAAAAAUAAAUAAAAUCUAAUUAACAAUUCAUUAAAACAACUUUUCUACAACUAAAUAAAAACAAAAACCUAAUUGCAGAGGCCACGCCCACAACACCACUUAGAAACCCAUCUUAAAUUAGCUAAAGUAACAAGUGUAUGUAUAAGUGUAGACAACACAGCACACUAAAAAAGGUGUAUUCUAACUAUACACACAGAGUCACACGGACUUGAGGCUUAUGAUGACCAUAAUAUAUAAAUAAACUCAUGAAUAUCUCACCAAAUCUUGUGGUGGCCACACCCACUAUAUAAAUAAACAAAUCCCUGAGGCCACGCCUAAUAUAAACCUAUAGAAGCCCCUCUUUAUAGCAGAAUAGCAGAAGUUCUCUCUCUCUCUCUCUCUCUCUCUCUCUCUCUCUCUCUCUCUCUCUCUCUCUCUCUCUCUCGUUCAACUCCCCACAGCAGACCAAAAACACACACAGUCGAUGUACAAUUGACUGACAACACACUGAGUCACACAGACCUACAGCUUAUGUGGGAGGACUGGUGGGUGGACAGAGGCUGGAAGUUCUGAAGAACUUAAAUCAUUUAUUUAAAUUUACCAGAUGUACUGUAUGUGACACCUCUGUAAUUGCCAUUUUUACUGAACAUGUACAAGACUGAUGUGAUCUACACUGAAGACAAAGGAAACACAGCUGACUGGAAAAUAAGAAACUUUGUGUGUGUGCCUGAACAGUGCUGAAAAGAAGAAGUAGCAGGAGUUCCAAAUGGAGUUUUUACGUCAGUAUUUCUGGACAGUAUUACUGCUGGCCAUCAUUCUGGUAUCUCUGGUGAUAGUAAUGAUUUUCAUAAUCAUCAAUGUUUGCAUCAGUAAAAGAGCUGCUAGGUACAGUACACAAACAAAACCAAAUCAUGACAGUGACAGAAAUAUAAAAAACCAGAACAACCAAGUUCAUCAUAAAGACCUUGAGAUAGAGAAACCACCUUUACCUCCCAGAGAUCAGUUCAAAUCCAUGGAAUCUGUGGAUCAGGGUUAUGAGGAUUUGGAGCCUGCGUCAGACUAUGUGGAGGUUGAGGAUGAUUUGAACCUUCCUGCCCCCCAACAACCCACCUUCACUCCACACUACACCACCGUCGAGACUAAAAGCCAAGACGCUGUUUCUGAGGAUUAUGACGACGUUGAAAUCCCUGUUAUCUAUGACAGCGAGGACUAUGAUGACAUAGGGUAAAAGACACAAAAUCAAUGACUUUCCCUUCAGCUGGACACAUGAGCAGACUCUGAAAUCAACUGCAUGUUUCCUUCAAGCUACUAUUGUACAUUAUUUAAGCAAAGAAAGUUUCUAAUAGCAUAUAAACUACAGGUGUGUUUACUUUUACUUAUCUAAACUGAUAUUUCCCUUCCCAUUUUUAGAAAUGUAAUACAUCUUUCAAAACUGUCAUUUGAUUUGUCAUUUUCUGUUGAAGCAUCCUACUGUAUGAGACAUUUGUGCGAAAGUGUUUAUGCGAGUUCAAAAGAUGUUUGAGAAACAUCUUAAUAGGCCCAUGCUUUAUAUAGUAAGCCUUGUAAUGAUUUGCACUGAAAAAUUUCAUGUCUUAUAUUAAAUUGUACCUUUUUUAUUAUUCCAGUGAAUCAAAAUGAUUUUUGGAAAAGAAGAACAACACACAAACAAGCAGUUCUCUGAAACUGAUUCCAUACAUUUAUUCUUAAAAAGAAAAGAAAAGAAAAAAGAAACAAGUACAAUGGUGACUAUCAAUAGAUAUUUGUCUUUCACAGCUGCUCGAUUUGUAAUCGCUGCUGUUCAGGGCAGCAACAGGAACAUAUCACAAGUCAGUUGUUUUUUUUAAACCCAUGCCCACAGUCAGAGGAGCGUUAUGGGCCUUGCAGACAAUUCGAGGCGUAUAAUUUCCGUGCACACAAACUACAAGUCUCCCUCUUGCUCGGUGGAGCUCCUGUUCUUUUGUACACAAGAGAAACAAGUCGAGAAAAAGAAGAUUUUCUUUCUCUUGCUCUCAGAGAUGUCCAUUAGGUG
rnacentral:lncRNA from 12 species